AAAUCACUGUUCCUGUGUCCUACUGCUCUUGGUCUUUACCAUGUGUUCAUCACCCACGAGAUGCCAAGACCCAUUGCCAUCAAAAUCUGGUUUAUUCUUGAAUUCAUGCAAGCUUGUAAUGACCCUAGACAGUGUUGCUGCUGCUGAGUUCCACAAUAUGGGAAGUAAAAAGUGCUGAUGGCCUGCACAUCCUGAUAUACAGCUUCAAAAGCCAAAAAGGCAUAAUGUAUAGCUGAAAUGCCUCACCAGUUCUGAAAGGCUCUGGAGAGCUGCAGCAGAGCAUAAAGAGCAGCCCACUGCUCUGUGCCAGCCACUACUUAGUUGGGAAACUAUGCAACGAUUAAACAAUGAAAUUAAACACAUA